GGUACUCAGCGAUGGUGCACAUGUUCUGAAUGAGGCGCAUCGCCUCGGCUGCGGAGCACCGCGCGGGAGGGGACUGAGGAACUGGAGAAGGCUAGCGCUGCACGGGAGCCGGCGGGAGAACCCGAAUGCGGGGCUCCGCAGUAAAAAAAAAAAAAAAUAUAUAUAUAUAUAUAUAAUAACAACAACGAUAAAUAAGUGCAGACCCACAUUCUCUGGCUCUUGUCGACAACACAAGCUAACGCGAACACACAUGGUCGGACGCAUGCACAGCACGCCCAGAAGCGGAUCAAGAAGUAAUUAUAGAACAAGCUUUCCAACGCCUCACUCAGUCACACCUUCUCCAGGAACUGUGAAAUGGAAAGAAAACAGCCCAGCUGCGACGUCUGAAGGGGCCCCGCACUUCGUCCCUGGUCAUAAGACACCGCAAGAGUUUAGUUAAGUGGCUUGAUGCCAAGGAAGAGGUGGGCCCUGCACUCCUAAAAUCCCAAGCUCUGGCCCCUUACAGUCUCAUCUGAGAAACACAUCUUCAAUGGCAGGCCAAAUUCCUCUUGCAAGCUACAGUCUGUAGCUGCAGCUGAUGGCAAGAUGUCACUAGAGUCGCGGGUUAACCACCCCAUCCCCCAUGCAAGGCCCUCUCCCCGCUACCCUUUCAACCUUGUCCCAGAGGCUUUUAUGCUGGGGUAUGACAACAAACUCUGUGACUUUGUGUACCCACCCACAUUAAAGUCUGAAAUGUGAAAUAAACCAAUGCCCUUAUCCACAUA